rnacentral:snoRNA from 1 species
GAAGCAGGUAUUGUGUGUAUCGGCUUUGUGCCUUUUAAAUGCAUUGAUGCCGAAAGUAUUUCCUGCAACAUUGAUUCAUGGGGCGAAUGGGCAGUCGGGUCUCUGUUGUCAUCAGGGCCUUGACAAUCAUUUUCCCUACAUUU